GCUUCACAGGGAUCUUUGGCUUAGGUAAAAGAAGCGUUGCUGCAGAGCAAGUGAGGAAGGGAAGUAGAGAAGGAAAAAUGCAUCCAGUUACCACCAGUUUCACUAUAAAAGUUAUUUAUUGUGAAGCAUAUGAGUUUUAUAAUGGUACUAGUAGUAAUAGACAUGCAAGGGGAAACAAAGAAAACAAUUACAAUAUUCCCCUGGUUUAAUUGAGUAUUUGGGGAAACUUAGCUGAAGCUUAACUAAUCCAAUUUAGGUUCAGAAAGCUAUGCCUAGAGACAAAAAGAGAGAAAGAGGGAGAAAGAGAGAGCGAGAGCUGGGGUGUCACUGUUCCCAGGCACUCCGGUGAUUUGAUGACAAGCAAAGUUCCCAGCACGAUCCUUGAAGGGAGAGGAUCUGUUUCUGCCAGCUUCUUGGGAACAACAGCGGGUGGUGUCAGAGAGAUUUUUCUCUCUUGAAGCACCCUGUUUGCUGCUUUACACCUUUCUUAUCCCCUUAGUCCAGCCUCUUCAAAGCAUUCUUUUAAUUGUGUAAAUGAAGAGGGUCCCAAGCCAUAAGUGACAGGGAAAAUCCUGUUAUACAAACAGUUUCAGUUUAAAUGAAUGACCUUUCUCAGUGACCAGGGGUUAUCUGGUUUGGAACAUCUCAAGAAAUGGAUUAACAACCAGCAAAAACAUCAAGUUUUAAGGAAUAACCAGACACGUAGGAGCCAUCUUGAAAUUAUGGGGUUUUAUUUUCUUUUUUUCCAAUUCCCUUCCUUUUACAACAAGGUGUCUAUGAAACGGCAUCUUGACAUUUUCUCUUAACUUUUUAAUCCUGAGCCAUUUUGGUUGUGGCCAGCCUCAAGGCACUCAUGCUUACAAAAUCAAAUGGAGAUGCGCAGAACUGAGACAGGUUUUCCUGUAGAUUGUCUGAAGAGGCUUCAUCUUUUGUUAAGUGCACUGACGGCGUCUGUCUUGGGGCAGUGGAUUGUUCUUGGUGCUGUGUAUUGAGCUGGUCCCUGAGUGAAUCAUGAUUAAUCGGUAACUGGUAGCAGCCAGGCCUGCGGUGAUCCCAGGUCCCAUGCCUCAAAACAGACAGUUGCCCAAGCACCCAUGUCACGAGUUUUGCCUGUCAGCAGCCAGAGGUGCAGGCCCCCGAGCCCAGAAGCCCUGCAUCGAUCCCUCGACAGCUGGCAGGCUUCGUGGCCUCAGCAGGGGCCACCAUCACUGCAGUUUUCAGCCCACUGCACCUUAACACACACGGUCAUCUAUGUCACGAGUUUUGCCUGUCAGCAGCUCGAGGUGCAGUUCCCCCCAAAACCCUGCACCAAUCGUCUUGAAGCUUGGCAGGCUUCAUGGCCUCGGCAAGGCUACCAGCCCUGCAGCUUUCACCCCGCUGUGGUGUAACACAUACACGUGACAUGAGUUUUGCUUUCAAGAAUGUGGGGUGCAGUUCCCCCGAGCCCCUGCACCGAUCUUCUUGAAACGUGGCAGGCUUCAUGCUCUCAACAGGGGCUGCCACCCCUGCAAGUUUCACCCAAAUCAGACAAAAAACACAGCUGUAGAUAUUUCAUUCAUUCCCCAUUAUACCCUAUGGCCGGGUCUCCGAGGCGGCUCCAAAGCUUCCUACUCACACAGGCCAACUAGUGACUACAAUGGACUGCAGAACCCAGAUCUACUCUAAGCAGAAUUACCUCUAUCGUCACAUCCACAGCUGCCCCAUUCAGGCCAUGGAAAACUGUCUGUGCACCAGGCAUGGCAGGAUCGGCGCUGGGACAGUUGGCUGUGCCGACCUCAGAGAAUGGGAGAGCUUUGCAUCUCCCUGGGUGAUUAUAGGAUCGUAUUUCUGAAGACACAUGUACUUUUGGGGCAUCCAGAAGCAAAGACACACAUUUUAAUGGGAUGGAAAGUGGGUCAAACCUGUUUCAAAGGAAGUGUAGAGAGAGUGUCUGAUCUUUUGGGAAGGGAUGUUGACUGUCAGCACGAAGACUUCUUAAAUGAGCUCUGUACGAUGGGAAACAGCAACGGAGAAGAGGUGGUGGGAGGUAGCCAGCAAAAUCAGUGACAUUUAGGAGGCAGCAGUGCAGUACUUGGAGGUACCAAGUAGUUAUUUCAUCUCGGUGAGCAAUUUUAAUUCAUUUUUAGCAAAAUCUUAAAAACUUGAAGACCUGGACUUCUUCAGCUGUGACAUCACAAACCUGAAGGAUUACAGGGAAAGGAUUUUUGAGCUGCUUCAGGAGAUCACCUACCUAGAUUGAUUUGAUCAGGAAGAAGGGGAUGAGGAGGAUGAAGCAGAUGAAGAUGAAGCUGGUCCACCAGGAGAGUACAAACAAGGUGAAGAUGAUGGAGGUUCAGAUUUGGGGGAGAGUGAAGAGGAGGAAGAAGCUGGCCUUUCAUACCUGAUGAUGGACAAGAUCCAGGUAGGACUUACCCUAUUCUACUGUAAGGCUCAGGAUUUUCUUGACACUGUCUAGCUAUAAACGUGUAAUAAUUUAAACUUGUAUAAGCUGAAUCAUGUAAAUCCACUAUCAUAUAUGUGCAAUAGAGUACUUUAGAGAGACACCUUUUACUAUCAAAGAAGUGCGUUACAGUAGGGGAACCGCCGCUCUUUGGUAUUCUCCGUUAUCUUGCUCAACAUGAAAUGCUGCAAGAUUUAUUACUUCACUGCCUUGUAGAAUUAGUGUCAUUCUGCACCAGAUCACCACGUCAGAUUUAGAGGAGAACAUGGCCGAAACAAAUCCACCUGCCCUACCAGGAUGCUCACAAGUGUCUGGGGCGCUUCAGCCUUGAGAGCCAUGCCCUCACCGUCCAGAUCUGCAGGUUGUCAGGUGUGGGGCUGGGGCUUCCAGGCAGGGGGGAGAGGGUGAGUAUGGAGGAGCUAGGGCCUGAGGGUGCAGGGGGCUGAUCAGGAUGUGAGGGCUGAGGCAAAGGGGAGACAGGCUGGGAAUCGAGGAGUGAGGGCUGGCCACAGGAAGAAGUCAGGGAGAGGCUGGAGCUGUGGCCCUGGGAGCGCCGUGGGUUCGGCCAUGCAGGGGAGAGCUGGGGCAGGGAGCGGAGACUUCCCCUGGGUGGGAGCACAGGACCUUGAGCUGCUCUUAGUGGAGGGAGGUGGGUGGGAAGUUGGAUCCUGGCAUUUUGGGGAAGGAGAAGGGGUUGGACGCUCCUUUCACCCCACUUAUCUCAGGGCCCUUUUCUUUCCUAGCCAGGGGGGCAGAAAACCCGUGUGAUGUUUGCUGAGCUGACCUGCAGGGAGCCUGAUGGAAGCAGGGGAUGGGAAUGGGGCUCUGUUGGGUUCGCUGCUCUGGGAAGGAAGCGCGUUAGAGCAGAGCAGGCGUGAGGACCAGGACUUGCAGGUUGUGCCCUGCUCUGGCUCUUCGAAAGGAGUGCUGUCCAGCAUGCCAUAGUGAGGGGCAUGGUUUGGGAGGACUCCUGGGUCCUGUUUCUAGCUGAGGGAAGGAGGGCAGGGGGUGGGAGGAAGGUUUUGUGGCUCAAGACUCCUGGCUUCUUUUUGGGAUCUGUCACUUCCCCAGAAUGAACCCACAAAUCAUCUGUGCUUUGAGUCAAUUGAUACCUUGGGUGAUGCUGUCAGCACGUACAUGGAGCGGUUAUCAACGUGAGCCAUGAUGCGAUACGCAGACCAGCUGCCAGCUCUGGGUGGUGGAGGAGCAGUCCAUCAGCCAGGUCAAUGGCGACUUCGACUGCAAGUGGGAGGUGCUGGAGGCCUCAGGCCAGGUCAGCAUUAACCGGCCCCCGGGAGUGACCUUGCUGUGGGGAGGCUCCUCGAGGACCUGCCCAUCCCCUCUCAGAGACCUGCCUGCACAGCUUCACGUGCACCCACACCCAAAGGACUCUGUAGAGGGGGCAGGGUCACAGGCAUGGUUGUGGGUUGAAAUUUGAAGAUGUGGGGUGGGAGUCUAAUGUAAGACAUGUUUAUUUUUAGAGCUGUUCUUCUACACCUGCUGCUUUCCCAGGAGAGAGAGACUUAAUUGAUAUGAAUGGGAGGGAGGGGGUUGUACUGGAAUGGUCUAUUUUAGGCAGGAGCGAGGGCUGUCCUUGUCCCAUUGCUGGGUUCCCUGCCCCCCAGUCUGGAGAAUGGCUUGAGCCUUGUUUUGCUUCCACCCAAGAGGAUUAUAUUAAAAUAUAAUAAAGGAAAA